GGCAGUUAACCCCCGGGUAGUUGUCCAUCUGUAGGUCGAGGGACUGAAAAGAUGGGAUGCGGCUAAUAUCGGGUUAGGACUGAGGUUAGGGCAAAAGUUAGGGUUAGGACUGAGGUUAAAGCUAAAGUUAGGGUUAGGACUGAGGUAAGGGUUAGGGCUAAAGUUAGGGUUGGGCACGACGGCAGGUACGCAGCCCGACCCCGAGCGAGGGGAUCUCAUCAGCCUGGACCAUCGCCUGGAAUUUGUUGUUAAGGCGACCGCCUUGACAACAAAGAGCCACCGCCUAAACUAAAGUCUUAACAAGCUCUCCGUUUAGUUCUGCCUCUGUCAGUACUUCUCUGCAGCACCCAGCAUUGUCCCACCCACAGAACCAUCUGAUUGGUUACACGCAAAGCGGUAACAGCCAAUCAGCAGUGCGUAUUCAGAGCGCAGGUAACAGUGCUUAGACAGGCAGAGAGGAGAGACACUUCCAAGUCAACUACGAGUAACAUCACAAUGAGCCCGUUGACGUUCUAGAAACAUAAGCGGCAGCUCAGCUCGCUCUCAGUCCUUGAGGUGAAGGCUACUUAGCUUUUAGCGUAACGUUAGCUCACUGUGCUGUGUGUGUCUGUCUGAGAGAAAGACAAGCAUGGUUGACCUACAGUUAACAGCUAAGUUAUUUCACUUUACCUUUUUCUGUGUUGAAGCAGCAAAAAAGGACAUUAUGUUAAAUGAAGAGUUUCUGUCUCUGAUAGUUGAUAUAAUAAUGUAAGUGCAUCAUUAAGCCUACAAGAACUCAAUGGUGUUCAGGGAUGAAUAGUCUCUCCUAUUGCUAUUGUACUAUUUUUUUCAGCUAUAUUUACAUUAAUCAUUAGUAAUGUAGCAGCUUAGUUUUGAAUGGCAGGGUCCCUGCUAUCACGUUGAUAAAAAUAUAACAUUUACAUAAUACAAAUCUACUACAGGCUUCCCAAAUGCUGUAAUAAAUUAAGCAUGAUGAGUUGAACAUGUCAGCAUGUGGCCCCACGCUUACUUACAUUAAGUCAUUAAUUUGACUUUGUAAGCCAUUAUUUGGACUUAGUUAAUUACUAAGUAAUAAUAAUGACGUACUUUGUAUCUCAGGUAACUAGGACUGUUUUGUUUUUACUUUACGGAAAAAAUAUCGAGAUAUAUAUCGUCAGUCAGCAA